rnacentral:rRNA from 1 species
UGGGGAAUUUUGGACAAUGGGCGAAAGCCUGAUCCAGCAAUGCCGCGUGUGUGAAGAAGGCCUUCGGGUUGUAAAGCACUUUUGUCCGGAAAGAAAUCCUUGGCUCUAAUACAGUCGGGGGAUGACGGUACCGGAAGAAUAAGCACCGGCUAACUACGUGCCAGCAGCCGCGGUAAUACGUAGGGUGCAAGCGUUAAUCGGAAUUACUGGGCGUAAAGCGUGCGCAGGCGGUUUGCUAAGACCGAUGUGAAAUCCCGGGCUCAACCUGGGAACUGCAUUGGUGACUGGCAGGCUAGAGUAUGGCAGAGGGGGGUAGAAUUCCACGUGUAGCAGUGAAAUGCGUAGAGAUGUGGAGGAAUACCGAUGGCGAAGGCAGCCCCCCUGGGCCAAUACUGACGCUCAUGCACGAAAGCGUGGGGAGCAAACAGGAUUAGAUACCCUGGUAGUCCACGCCCUAAACGAUGUCAACUAGUUGUGGGGAUUCAUUUCCUAGUAACGUAGCUAACGCGUGAAGUUGACCGCCUGGGGAGUACGGUCGCAAGAUU